rnacentral:rRNA from 1 species
UACGUAGGGAGCAAGCGUUGUCCGGAAUCAUUGGGCGUAAAGCGCGCGUAGGUGGCUUCGUAAGUCCGCUGUGAAAGUCAAAGGCUCAACCUUUGAAAGCCGGUGGAUACUGUGAAGCUAGAGUACGGAAGAGGCGAGUGGAAUUCCUGGUGUAGCGGUGGAAUGCGCAGAUAUCAGGAGGAACACCAAUAGCGAAGGCAGCUCGCUGGGACGUUACUGACACUGAGGCGCGAAAGCGUGGGGAGCGAACAGGA